UUUCUAGGUUGACCUCGGAUCAGGUAGGGAUACCCGCUGAACUUAAGCAUAUCAAUAAGCGGAGGAAAAGAAACCAACAGGGAUUGCCCUAGUAACGGCGAGUGAAGCGGCAAUAGCUCAAAUUUGAAAGCUGGCCUCUGGUCCGCAUUGUAAUUUGUAGAGGAUGCUUUUAGGCAGCCGCCGGUCUAAGUUCCUUGGAACAGGACGUCAUAGAGGGUGAGAAUCCCGUAUGUGACCGGCUCAGGCACCUUCUGUAAAGCUCCUUCGACGAGUCGAGUUGUUUGGGAAUGCAGCUCUAAAUGGGAGGUAAAUUUCUUCUAAAGCUAAAUACUGGCGAGAGACCGAUAGCGCACAAGUAGAGUGAUCGAAAGAUGAAAAGCACUUUGGAAAGAGAGUUAAAAAGCACGUGAAAUUGUUGAAAGGGAAGCGCUUGCAAUCAGACUUGGCCUCGRRUGUUCAACCGGUCUUCUGACCGGCCUAUUCAUUCGGGGCCAGGCCAGCAUCAGUUUCGGCGGCCGGAUAAAGGCCUUGGGAAUGUGGCUUUYYCUUCGGGGGAAGUGUUAUAGCCCAGGGUGUAAUACGGCCAGCUGGGACUGAGGUCCGCGCU
rnacentral:rRNA from 1 species